rnacentral:rRNA from 1 species
GAUCAUGCUCAGGACGAACGCUGGCGGCGUGCCUAACACAUGCAAGUCGAACGGAGAAUUUUAUUUCGGUAGAGUUCUUAGUGGCGAACGGGUGAGUAACGCGUAGGCAACCUGCCCUUUAGACGGGGACAACAUUCCGAAAGGAGUGCUAAUACCGGAUGUGAUCAUCUUGCCGCAUGGCAGGAUGAAGAAAGAUGGCCUCUACAAGUAAGCUAUCGCUAAAGGAUGGG